rnacentral:rRNA from 1 species
CCUACGGGAGGCAGCAGUGGGGAAUAUUGGGCAAUGGGCGCAAGCCUGACCCAGCAAUGCCGCGUGAAGGAAGAAGGCUUUCGGGUUGUUAACUUCUUUGACAGGGGAAGAGCAGAAGACGGUACCCUGAAAACAGGCCACGGCUAACUACGUGCCAGCAGCCGCGGUAAUACGAAGGUGGCAAGCGUUGUCCGGAUUUAUUGGGUUUAAGGGGUGCGCAGGCGGAGGUGCAAGUCAGCGGUCAAAUUUCGGGGCUCAACCCAGAAGUGCCGUUGAAACUGCAUCCCUUGAGUGCGCGAGAGGUAUGCGGAAUGCGUGGUGUAGCGGUGAAAUGCAUAGAUAUCACGCAGAACUCCGAUUGCGAAGGCAGCAUACCGGCGCGCAACUGACGCUCAUGCACGAAAGCGUGGGUAUCGAACAGGAUUAGAUACCCCGGUAGUC